AAUGCCAAACAUAAUAUAUUCUUAAAGAAAAAAACAAAUAAAUUCAUCAAACAUUACAUCUAAAAUGAAAAACAUCUUGCAUAAAUGCCUUUAUUGCAAAAUGAGGUUUACACCAUUUUUGCACAUCUCAAUAAAGCAGAGAGACAAUUUCAAUAUAAAAAAGCAUCACAAAGCCAAAUAAAGAGUUGAGCAGUUGUAAAUUUGGAGGUGUGCGUAACCCUAACCUCUGGAUUUUUUCUUUUCGACAGAUUAGGGCUUUAAACACCACCAUAAUUAACUUUUUAGGAGAGGCUAAUAAUUAGACAGCAAAAAUCAAACUUCCACCGCUCUGUAUUUAAAGCCAACUCCUACAGAUAAAUGGCCAAUAGAUUUAGCUCAUAAUCAUGAAUCCCAAAUUUCCAAUGCAAAUCUAUAGCUACAAACAAGAAGAAAAAUUAGCGAUCAAGGAAUUUUCAUUCAACAAAUUAACAAGCAAAAUCUUGACUAAAUCCAAUAGGCUCAAAAUAUUAAUCAAUGAUUUUAGUGGUUGCUCAUGUUCUAUGGGUGUAAAAUGAGUCUGUCAUGCCAUGGCUAUAGCAUUCAGUACGAGGAAUUACUUUAUAAUCAUCGCAACCAACCCUAACUCAACUCAAACAAUACAGAAUUAAACAGUGAUAAAUUAAAAGAACAUAGUAAAUUUAACGAAAUAUAAUUUAACUGAAUUAGACUAAUUUAACUGAAAUUAGAUUGAAGGAAUGAUUUAAUGGAGAUGAUCUAUAUGUACAUAAAAGAACAUACAUCCAUUUUAACGACGCUCAAGAAAAGGAUGAAAUCGAAGAGGGCGGCUAAAAAUGAAAUUUGGGUUAUGAAGGUAGUGGGAGCCGGCUUCUAUUUAUAUAGCAAGAUAGAGAGAACUACAUAAAACCCUAAUCCUAGUGCUAGCUGACAGCACGAUUCUAAAAC
rnacentral:lncRNA from 1 species